rnacentral:lncRNA from 1 species
CCUAGCCCAAAUCGUGCUUAAACGUGCUCCACAUGCCCAAAAUACACGGCAGUCAUCAGAGACCCCAAAAUCACAAAAUCGCUAAAUCUCUCAACGCGUACUACGCACUUUUCAUCUUCUUCUCCAUCUCAAUCAUGUUCAACUCGCCAAAUCCCAAGCGAGUGAGCUCAAAUUCACCCCACACGUCCCCCCUCCAUCCUCUUCACCAUAUUUGUAACGGCCUCUGAUAGAUCCUCUCAUCCCCAUCCCUUUCUCACGUGAUGGAAGCCUCUAGAAGGCAAAUGCCGAAUGAAUGGGGAGCGUGGGAUCGACUUGGAUUGAUCCCAACCCUUCAUUCAUCAGGUGUUUGCCUAAUAACUAGAGGGAUAUUUGGGAAUAACAGGGGAAUAUAUUUUCAGAGAGAUUUUCGGGGAUUCGGGACUCUGGUAACAAAAUUUGAAAUUCUAGUUUUCUGAUUUUAUUCUUUGAAGAGUUCUUUCAGAGUCUAAGAGAAGCAUAUAUACAAUUUUUAUUUCUCAGAAUCCGGAUUUGAGUUCCAAGGAGAUAAAAAUGGAAGUUCAAGCUUGGUUUUCUACUGUCGUCUUACUGAUUUGCUGCUGAAUCACGCUAGGAUUUGAAGUCGAGAAGUGUAUUGUUAGGUCUAAUUGAUAUAAAAGAGAUUUACAACUUCAGGUUCAAUUUUCCUCUCUUUUAUUCUAUGUGACUCUGUUUUUGUUUCAGUGUUCUUGAGCUAUGAGAUUCAAUCUGGAGUGGUCGGUUUCGUGUUAUGAUCGAAUAUCUUAUGACUGAAUCUAUUCUCAGUGGUAGUAUGUGUUUCAGUAUAUAUAGUCAAUAAGAGUCGAUUUGAGUAUCCGUCUUCCAUUUCCUCUAUGUCGUGACUGUUAUUCGGGCUCGAAGUAUUUUCUAAGUUAAGAUUUCAUCACGUUCAGUUGAAUGAUAUGUGCAGUUUUUUCUGGUGAACUUCCUUUGCAAUGUGUUCUGAUGUACCUGAUGAUAUGCUUGAGCCAUCCAUCUUGAUUUCAACAUAUUCGAUAUAAUUCAUUGAAGAGUUCCUUUUUAUGUGAUCUCAUGAUCAUUCUCGCAUGUAUUGUUAGUUUGAAUCUGUCGAAGUUCCCUAUUGAUAAUAUCUGCUCUUUGAGGCUCAUUAUGCUGGAAGAUCAUUACUUGUUCCGGUUUGUUUUUAGCAUGAAAAAUCUGUCCCUAAACUCUUUAAAUAAAAUAUCAUUUGAAGCUUGUGUAAUAGUAUGGAUUUGUCUCCUUUGAGAUCAUUUUGCAUUUUUAAUUCAAGCUAUGAACCUUAGUCCAUUCAUCCUGCACAAGUUGCCUCUCUUUCAGUAACUGGGCUGUUUGCUUUUGGUUCUGACCCUCAGUUGUUUCAGAAUGGUCUUUUUCUGCAUCUGAUUACACAUUUUGGAGUCAUGAGUGUUGAGUAUGAUUAUUUAGUGAAAACUGGAAUUUUAUCUUCUCCACUUUCAAAGGCUGCUGCUAUGCAAUCUUGUUUAACUGUGAUCAUAGGAUUUUACUGUUGAAAAACUGCUCAGUUUUGGUAUUGUGUGGGAAACAAAUCUGCACAACUUUAAGUACACAAUUCCACGCUGUUGAUUUGCCAAAUUAUCAAGCUGCUGGAUAAUUUAUUUUCUAAUUGAGUUUUGCUUGGUUUUGUGAUUGUUAAUCAGUCAAAGAAAUCAGUAGGGGUGAGUUUGUUUUGAUAAGUUCUUCUACAGACACCUUGAAUUAGUUUGUUUGUUUGUUAAUGAAUCAAAGACAAGUUUCGUUUGCCACUUCCCUUUCCAUGUCAUUAUUUGGGUUUGUUGCUGCAUAUUUGAUAAGAAGGUUUAGAACACUUUGUUGGGAAUUUGAUUCUCUUAAGAACUGGGAUAACCGUAGCUUGGGUGUAGCUAGGACCAAAGUUUUGGCUGUCGGAUUAAUUUAAAUAGCUAAUGCACUAUAUGGCUAAUGAGUAAUUUUAUAUUCAAACUUGGAUCAAGGUUGGGCCAUUGGUUAGUUAUGAAUUAUAUUUCUUGGACUAUUGCUGGGUGUUUUAAUGUUGAUGGCUGCCUAAUCCUUAUUCAGAAAGGAAGUUGUCCUUCUUGCCUAGCAUAUAGAUUUCCAUCUACUUUGCUUCUUCUUGAUUGCCUAGUUUGUUGGUAAAAUACCCUUUUUAUUGAUAUAUUAUCUCCACUACAGUUGGGAGAACUGAUAUAUGUUGGUGUGCUUGCCAAAAGGCAUGUGGAAUCGGAUAAUAUGGGCCAUGGCCAGUUCAACUUUCCUGGCAUUUUACAUAAUGAAAAAAGAGUUUUGAAGCGAUUCACUAUGCUAGUUGCGCAAUUGCUUCUGCUGCUUUUGUUUACUAUAUUGUUGCCUAUCGUCGUGACUUUCAGCAUGUUGAAUUUAUUAAAGCACCAGAAGCAUUGGACAAGUUAAAGGGGGUGUCAUUUUCGGGGUGCGCCGUGCCAAACAAAAACGACAGUUACAUGGCCCUCGUUUAAUUAAUAUUGUAUUGUCUUUAGAAUCC